GGGUAUAUAGCUCAGUUGUAGAGUGUGCACUUAACAUGCAUGAGGUCCUGGGUUCAAUCCCUAGUACCUCCA
rfam:Camelus ferus unplaced genomic scaffold scaffold1144, whole genome shotgun sequence.